CCCUACGGGGUGCACCAGGCGCGAAACCUCUGCAAUAGGCGAAAGCUUGACAGGGUUACUCUGAGUGAUUUCCGCUAAGGAGAUCUUUUGGCACCUCUAAAAAUGGUGCAGAAUAAGGGGUGGGCAAGUCUGGUGUCAGCCGCCGCGGUAA
rnacentral:rRNA from 1 species